GAAAUGCGAUAAGUAAUGUGAAUUGCAGAAUUCAGUGAAUCAUCGAAUCUUUGAACGCACCUUGCGCUCCUUGGUAUUCCGAGGAGCAUGCCUGUUUGAGUGUCAUGGAAUUCUCAACUCUAUUUGCUUUUGUGAAUUGAGCUUGGAUUUGGAGGUUUAUUGCUGGUACUUGUGAUCGGCUCCUCUUGGAUGCAUUAGCUCGAACCUUUGCGGAUCAGCUAUCGGUGUGAUAAUUGUCUACGCCGUUGCAGUGAAGCAUAUCAAUGGGCUCGGCUUCCAAUCGUCCUUUACUGGACAAUGACUUUGACCUUUGACCUCAAAUCAGGUAGGAUUACCCGCUGAACUUAAGC
rnacentral:misc_RNA from 1 species